rnacentral:rRNA from 1 species
GGAACUGCAUGUGAUACUGGCAAACUAGAGUCCGGUAGAGGAAUGGGGAAUUACUGGUGCAGCGGUGAAAUGCGUAGAGCUCAGCAUGAACACCAAUGGCGAAGGCAACAUUCUGGACCGAUACUGACACUGACGGACGAAAGCGAGGGGAUCAAACAGGAUUAGAUACCCUGGUAGUCAACGCUGUAAUCGUUGAGUACUAGAUGUUGGAGUCGGUGUAAAGGCUCUAGUGGCGCAGCU